GGAAUAUUGCACAAUGGGCGCAAGCCUGAUGCAGCGACGCCGCGUGAGGGAUGACGGCCUUCGGGUUGUAAACCUCUGUUAGCAUCGAAGAAGCGAAAGUGACGGUAGGUGCAGAGAAAGCGCCGGCUAACUACGUGCCAGCAGCCGCGGUAAUACGUAGGGCGCGAGCGUUGUCCGGAUUUGUUGGGCGUGGGGUGCUUGUGGGCGGUUGGUCGCGUCUGCUGUGAAAGGCUGGGGCUUCUCCCUGGUUUUGCCGUGGGUGCGGGCUCUCUUGUGUGCGGUNGGGGCGUCUGGUAUUCCUGGUGUUGCGGUGGCGUGCGCNGNUUUCUGGGGGNCCCCCGCUGGCGCUGGCGGGUCUCUGGGCUGUGNCUGCCGCUGUGGGGCGGCUGCGUGGGGGGCGCCCCGAAUUAGCUUCCCUGGUAGUCCAUGCCGUAAACGUUGGGCACUAGGUGUGGGGGACAUUCCACGUUUUCCGCGCCGUAGCUAACGCAUUAAGUGCCCCGCCUGGGGAGUACGGCCGCAAGGCUAAAACUCAAAGAAAUUGACGGGGGCCCGCACAAGCGGCGGAGCAUGCGGAUUAAUUCGAUGCAACGCGAAGAACCUUACCAAGGCUUGACAUAUACUGGACUGCGUCAGAGAUGGCGUUUCCCUUCGGGGCUGGUAUACAGGUGGUGCAUGGUUGUCGUCAGCUCGUGUCGUGAGAUGUUGGGUUAAGUCCCGCAACGAGCGCAACCCUUAUAUCUAGUUGCCAGCAGUAAGAUGGGGACUCUAGAUAGACUGCCAGUGAUAAACUGGUGGAAGGUGGGGAUGACGUCAAAUCAUCAUGCCCCUUAUGACUUGGGCUACACACGUGCUACAAUGGAUAGGAACAAAGAGAAGCGAGCUCGCGAGAGUAAGCAAACCUCACAAAACUAUUCUCAGUUCGGAUUGUAGUCUGCAACUCGACUACAUGAAGCUGGAAUCGCUAGUAAUCGCGAAUCAGAAUGUCGCGGUGAAUACGUUCCCGGGUCUUGCACUCACCGCCCGUCAAG
rnacentral:rRNA from 1 species